UACAGAGGUCUCAAGCGUUGUUCGGAUUCAUUGGGCGUAAAGGGCGCGUAGGCGGCUCGGUAAGUAGGGGGUGAAAUCCUGCGGCUUAACCGCAGGGCUGCCUUCUAAACUGUCGAGCUUGAGCACGGUAGAGGCAGAUGGAAUUCCCGGUGUAGCGGUGGAAUGCGUAGAGAUCGGGAAGAACAUCAGUGGCGAAGGCGGUCUGCUGGGCCGUUGCUGACGCUGAGGCGCGACAGCGUGGGGAGCAAACAGG
rnacentral:rRNA from 1 species